rnacentral:rRNA from 1 species
UACCUUAGUACGGCGAGUGAAGCGGCAAAAGCUCAAAUUUGAAAUCUGGUACCUUCGGUGCCCGAGUUGUAAUUUGGAGAGGGCAACUUUGGGGCCGUUCCUUGUCUAUGUUCCUUGGAACAGGACGUCAUAGAGGGUGAGAAUCCCGUGUGGCGAGGAGUGCGGUUCUUUGUAAAGUGCCUUCGAAGAGUCGAGUUGUUUGGGAAUGCAGCUCUAAGUGGGUGGUAAAUUCCAUCUAAAGCUAAAUAUUGGCGAGAGACCGAUAGCGAACAAGUACAGUGAUGGAAAGAUGAAAAGAACUUUGAAAAGAGAGUGAAAAAGUACGUGAAAUUGUUGAAAGGGAAGGGCAUUUGAUCAGACAUGGUGUUUUGUGCCCUCUGCUCCUUGUGGGUAGGGGAAUCUCGCAUUUCACUGGGCCAGCAUCAGUUUUGGUGGCAGGAUAAAUCCAUAGGAAUGUAGCUUGCCUCGGUAAGUAUUAUAGCCUGUGGGAAUACUGCCAGCUGGGACUGAGGACUGCGACGUAAGUCAAGGAUGCUGGCAUAAUGGUUAUAUGCCGCCCGUCUUGAACCCCGGACACACA